rnacentral:siRNA from 1 species
UCCCAAGAACUUCGGCAACGGCGC